CCCACUCUGCGAUCCACUUGGGCUAAAGAUGCUUUCGGGAAACGGGGCUCAGCAGUCUUCUAGAGUCUUAGUCAGUGAUGUGUAUUCAGUAAAAAUUGUUUAAAAUGGAGCCGCCCCAGAGCAGACGAAGAAAAGACUGAAAAAAUAAAUAAAGAUGAAGUUAAAAGAAAUACAUAAAUACUAAUAAACAACCAGGCAGAAAACAGAUAAACAAACACACAUGAAACAGCGACUCUAGAAACAGCGCCCCAGUCCAAAUGAAAUCAUAUUUACACAUGGAGGACCAGAGAACAGACUUAUGUUAGCAACUACACACAGAAAUAGAGAUCAAGACGAGAACAUGAAUGAGAUAAGACGGUUAUGUCUAUAAUGUUGUAAACCUCUUGACCCUGUGUUUUAUUUAAUUGAAUUGUUCAGCGUUAGGAUGCAGAACCAAAGGCAGGUUGAGGUUUAAACACUUUUGACUGCAAGAAGAGAUGAAGAAACAACGUAGGAUAUUUCACAAACACAUCAAAGUCAUCCGGGUUGGAUGACUUUCCAAGGUAAUGACCAAGAGAGUUGUUUAUCUGUGUAAUUCAAUUCAAUUCAAAGUGUUUAUUGUCAUAUGCAUAAAUGAGACGUUCUCAGUUGUGCAAUGAAAUUCUUCCUUUGUUUCCACAGACUGAAUGCCAAGAUUUUUUUUUACAAGAUAGAUAGAACAAAUAAUACAUUUAAGUUAAAAUAAAUAAAUAAUGGUGUUGUAAUAAUUACUUGGAAGCCAGUUCCCAGGCAUAUUGCCCAGUAACUAGUCUGGGUGGUUAUCCCCUUGCCAUGACGUCUUCCCUGAGGUUGAAUAUAAAAGCAGGGGCCCCAAGAGCAGUAACCUCACCAACGAUUCCCUUUGCUGCAGAAGAACAGAACCAGUGAAGAUCAACCUUCUAGACAUGGCUCAAGUGAACUUUAAACUGGUGGUGACUGCUGAUGGCAACAAGAGUAUUGAAUACAAACCUACUACGGACUGCAACCAGCGACUCCUGUGGGCGUUGACAGAAUUGAAAGAUUCCGUCUCAAACUUCAGUUUCGAAUGUGGAAGCAAAUUUGGAAUGCCACCCUAUUUGACCCGGGUGACUUUUGGUAAUAAUAUUAUUACCAAAACUGAGAACAGCUUCUGGCAAGUUCUGGUCAAAAACCAUAACAUGAUCACUCCUGUUGGACUCUGCAACUACCGUGUCCAGGACAGUGACGUGAUCAUCCUGCGCCACAUGACCGUGUGAUCCUGACUGUGGCGCCAUCUUCCUUCAGGGUCCUGAAUAACACUGAGUGCUGCUCGACACUCAUUAAACAUGAGGAUCAUCUAAUCUGAAGAUAUCAAAUGUAAAAAUGUGUUUAAUUCAACAAAUAUAGAAAUGAUUUGGAAGUGAAUUAUAUAAAUUGGAAUAAAGGAUUGAAAUUAUCUCAUGCGUAUCAUUUCACUGUUUUUGCACACACUCACUCACAGUAACCAGCCCUCACUUCCUACCGUCCUAUCUCUUGGAUGUACACAAAAACAGAUCUUCACGUAUAUUUAUAUAGUUAUGAAGUUAUUAACAUGGUUCUUUAUAGUUAUUAUUAAUACAGAUAUAGAUAAUUAGCAUUAAUAUAGUUCCGUUUACAUUAAACUGCCUCCAUAAUAGAUUUUUUUCUUAAAAUAAGAUUUGCAAACGAAAUAGUACAAAACAUUACAUUUAAUUGAAUGUAUUCAUUUUUAACCAUACAGUAGAGGUUCAUUACCAUUUGAAAGCUGUGCAAAGAAUUUAUAUAUACAGAGAAAUGUCACAUAAUGCACAUAAAUCUUGUGUAUUCAAGGGUGUGUUUGUGUGUUUCUAUGCAGUGUGUGUGUGUGUGUGUGUGUGUGUGUGUGUGCGCGCGCUUUGGAAUGAAUAAGCAUGUGUUUUUGUGUGCGUGUUUUAUAGGAGUGUGUGUGUGUGUUAUAGGUUUUGUGUGUCUCACAAAAACAUGGGUGUUGCAACUUACUUCGGCUUUACUUUUUCCGAUAUGUCUUUCGUCCUCCUACGUUAAGAUAUGUCUUUUGUCCCUCUACGUUAAUGUUUGCAGAUAGCGAGAAAAGAAAGUGUCGGAAAGAGAAUAUACGCUGUAUGCAAGAGUGCUCACCAAUACUUACCCUUCAUGCAGCAGUUGUCCAAUCAACCGCUGCAGUGUGUAAACUGUGUGACGACCUGGCUCCAGUGGUUAUCACGCAGGUUGGCGCAGG
ensembl:lncRNA